rnacentral:rRNA from 1 species
UUGAAAGGGAAACGAUUGAAGUCAGUCGUACCUUUGGGUAAUCCGCCUUUUGGGUGUGAUUUUGCGAGUGUGGGGAGUUAAACCCCCCCCCGCCCGCAUAUUCGUGCACUUUGGGUGUAUUUGCCCGUGUGGUAAGUUAACAUCAACUUUGGUGGUCAUAAAAUGGCUGGAGGAAUGUAGCUUCGAUCUCGUAUUGAAGUGUUAUAGCCUUCGGUAGAUGUGAUUAUCGGGAUUGAGGAUUGCAACGGAUACCCUUCGGGGCUACCUGUCUGAUCUCUGAUCGUUGCUCUGGUGCCGAAAGCUUGCUUACGGUUAUCAAAGUCGAUGGUCAAUAGGUUAGAACGGGUUAAAUUCGUUAAGGAUGUUGACGUA